rnacentral:rRNA from 1 species
UACGUAGGGGGCGAGCGUUGUCCGGAUUUAUUGGGCGUAAAGAGCUCGUAGGCGGUCUGUCACGUCGGCUGUGAAAACCCGAGGCUCAACCUCGGGCCUGCAGUCGAUACGGGCAAACUAGAGUACUGCAGGGGAGACUGGAAUUCCUGGUGUAGCGGUGAAAUGCGCAGAUAUCAGGAGGAACCCCGGUGGCGAAGGCGGGUCUCUGGGCAGUAACUGACGCUGAGGAGCGAAAGCGUGGGGAGCGAACAGG